AUGUCACUCACCGCGCUAAUUAAAUCCCGGGCCUCGGCUCAUCUCCGGCGGGGUCACCCCGCUCCCAGGGCGCAUCACCCCCACUCACUCCAGCCUAGGCAGCUCCCCGCCACCACAGCAGGAGAGCCCAGGCACCUCAGCUCCCCUUUAGCCCCCCGAUCCCCACACAGCCUCAAUCCUGGGGUCGUGCCCAUGCCCCCCAGUAAUCCCAUGGCCCCCCACACCUGGCCAGCCCCACCAACACCAUCCCCUCCUGACCCCCACAUUCCCCCAGCCCCUUCCAUCCUCCCCCAGCCCCCCAGAUCCGCCACCCCCAACCCCACAGCCCCCUGCCCAGCCCCACAGCCCCCCGAUCCCUCGUCCUUUCCCCUCCAGGUCCCCUCCAGGCCCCUCAGCCCCCCGCCGCCCCGGGGCCGGGCCGCACUCACCGAUCAGCCUCCGCACCUCCUCCUCGCUCAGGUACAGGCUCAGGCUGGGCCCGGGGCCGGCGGGGGGCCAGGCCGGGGGCCCGGAGCCCAAACCGGGGCCGAGCUGCCCGGAGGCGCCGGCGGGCAGCAGGAGCAGGAGCAGCGGCAGGAGGCGGAGGAGAUGGCGGCGAGGGCCCCACCGCCGCCACCGCCACCACCACCGGCACGGCCCCGCCGCCGCCGAGAGGGGCCGGCCCCGCCGCCCCCCGCCGCCGUGCUCCGGGCCCCCGCGCCCCGGCACCAUCUCCGCGGGGAGGGAGCAGGAGGAGGAGGAGGAGGAGGUGGAGGAGAAGGAGGAGGACGGGGCCCCCCCGCCCCGCCGACCCCUCCUCACACGCCGCGGCCGCCAGCCCCCGCCCCGCCGCUCAUGGCUGCGCCCGCCCGCCCGCCGCCGCCCCGCGCACGCGCGGCCUCCUCCUCCUCUUCUCCUUCUCCUCCUCCUCCUCUUCCUCCUCCUUCUUUUCCUCCUCCUCCUCCUUCUUCUUCUCCUCCUCCUCCUCUUCUUCCUCCUCCUCCUCUCUCCCACCCGGCCCCGCCCCGCCGAGGUGCCCGCUCGGCGGCGCCCUCCUCGAAAGUUUCCUCCUCAGCACUUUUUAAAAAUUAUUAUUUUUUCACUUUUUUUUUUUUUUCUUUUGAGAUAGUUUUUCAACUUUGCCCGCUGAGGUGCAGCGUUUUAGUCAGCCGCUCUCUUUCUUCCCGCCCUCCCCCCCCGCUUGAGGUGCCCCCCGCUUGA
rnacentral:lncRNA from 1 species